rnacentral:lncRNA from 1 species
AAAAUUGGUCAAAAUGGGUCAGGUUGAGGUUAAAUUGGGCUAAAAGGAAUAGAAACGCAAACAAAAUGCCACUUUAAGGACCUAACAGACAAUAAUUGAACUUUAGGGAUAAUUUUAAAAAUGGGUGGCAACUUGGAGGGACAGAAGUGUCAUUCAGCCAUAAUGAUAAUAUCAUAAAGUAGUUGUGACAACCCCAAAAUAGGUCCAUUUCACCCAACAUAUUCUGAGUCGCCAAAUACAUGGUACAGAAAAUAACUACAACUUUAUUACAACAAUUAUCGUACAAAAUACAACAACACAUAUACUGUGAGUUUGGAUACAAAUAUAUACCAACUGUGACUCGUGUCCCAACCGUAAUGUGACAAAUGUCCCAUCAGUGGACAGCACAUCACAGUGAUACCUACAUAAAGGUAUAGUCAAAAACUGUUUUAGAAAUUAGAAUCUUUGGGAAGUGCUCAAGGAAACCUUCGUACAUGGGAGGCUAUGCUUCCAGGUUAUGAUAGAUAUCAUAUGUCCACAGAAUUAUCCUUGGUUGACCUAAUAGACCCCAAAGAAAAACAAGAAGAUUACUAUCAUAUUCUUUCCAAUGGUGAGUCUUCUCUUGACAUAUCAUUAUCUCCACUAUCUUUAAUCGUGACUUAUACUUCAAACAAACACCAAGAUUAUAUAGGUAGUGCUCAUAAAUAUACUCAGCAAGUGGAUGUGAACAACCCUAUCUUAUAAUGACACGAGGUUGUAUGACAUUAGACAUCUUGUAUGAUAGUGGCAAAACACCUUUCCAACGUUGGGUUCGCCUCACCCUAUUGGAUUCAUCAAAUAUAACUACUAAAUGAUGACCACCGUUCUAUUCUCCUGUUACCCCCGCUCGACCCAGCUACACUCGUAUUACCUGAAAGGAAUUUUGAAACAGAAGGGUGAGCACAACUAGCUCAGUAAAGAAUAUCAUGACUAAAGAUAA